UUUUAUUCCAUAUUUAUGCAGCAAGCUGUCUUCUGGGACAUACAAAGUCUGAGCCCUUCCCCUCUCCCGUACUGGAGCUGGUUUAUUAUUAAAGAGCUCAUCCUCAUGGAGGUUAGAUGUGAAAGCGCUGGACACUUUUGGACAUGAGGUCAAGUUGCUGAAAGCAUAAAACACGGACUCCGCUCUCAGCUAGCACCUGUGAAUAAAAGAAUACACUAUAAAGUGACUCGGCAGGCUAUU